UACGUAGGUGGCAAGCGUUGUCCGGAAUUAUUGGGCGUAAAGCGUGCGCAGGCGGUUUUGUAAGUCAGAUGUGAAAUCCCCGGGCUCAACCUGGGAACUGCGUUUGAAACUGCAAGGCUAGAGUAUGGGAGAGGGAGGUAGAAUUCCACGUGUAGCAGUGAAAUGCGUAGAGAUGUGGAGGAAUACCAAUGGCGAAGGCAGCCUCCUGGCCUAAUACUGACGCUCAUGCACGAAAGCGUGGGGAGCAAACAGG
rnacentral:rRNA from 1 species